GAAAUCUGGGAUAAAACUUCUGAGUUUUGGCUUAGUAAUACGCCUAGCAUUAUAAAUGAAGAGUUCUGCAAUGCUGGGAUUUAAAGUGAGACAGAAUAUUGACCUUUGGUAUUCUGAAACGCUGAGAGUGAGGAUGGCUCUUUUCUCUUCUUCUUUGAUGCUGACAUAGGAAGAUGUGCGGAUGUGAUAAGAGUGCUGACACCAAAGUUGUGCAUCACAGUACCUGACCUCUGGGCCCUUUUAAAGAAGAACAGAAUUAAGAGACAAGGUAUGG